CUAACUCCCCCCUGAGCGCGUGGUCCCGGGCGCGAGCCGAGAGCCGCGCGGUGGAUCUCUGCUCCACCAGAAACACGGACUAUAAACACAAAGAAGCCGCGCCAUCAGGAGCUGGACACCGGACCCGAUACUGAGAGCCCCCCCGGUCAGUCCUCCACAGCCCCUGCAUCCAGACGAUCGAUGAAACGCCUGUGAAUGAGAAGGACGUAAAUGUGAAAGCAGUUGAUGCUGGAUUCGGUUUCACCCCAUUUUAGCGCCACUUUUUUCAUUGUCAAAGAAACUCUCUUGCACUGUAUCAACCAAAAUUGUAACUACUUCUGCUUUUUUCUGAGCUCUUGCAUCCUGUAUGGGCCCCUGUGGUGCUCAGGGUGGUUGGGAAGUACCUAGUGUUACAACCGUCAUGGUUUCUCAGCUGAAAGCCAAAGUAGACCUUUUGGUUAGCCUUUAACUAAACCUUUUGAUCAAAAGAUUGAACUUUUUAAACAUUAUGUUGUUACUGUAAGUUAUUUAAAUUUCAUGCUUUUGUGUCAUAAAACUUAAAAGUAUGUGGAUUUGAGGUUUUUACUUUAACUUUGAUCAUAAAUACUGGCAAUCAUUUCUGGACUUUUAAACAUUCUUUUUAAAUAUUUUUCUUUUAGAAAAAAAUUGUGCACUUAUCUUAAUAAAUAUCUCAGAUGCUUUCUGGGUUGGGUUUCUUGAAGCAUGCGAGAUGUGAGUUUCCUCUGCUUGCAGCUGCAGAGGACUAACGCUUUCUGUCACCUAUUACUUGCAGUUUCUGUGAAGUUCAUUUAUCUUGACCUUGUGACUGCUACAAGAUUGACUAUUAACCACAACUUCUAGAGCUAAUGCUCUGCUCAUUAGAUGCUCUCUAAAGGAAUUUGAA